rnacentral:rRNA from 1 species
CGCGUAGGCGGGUGUUCAAGUCCGGGGUGAAAUCCCACAGCUCAACUGUGGAACUGCCUUGGAUACUGGGCACCUCGAGGGUGGUAGGGGUAUGCGGAACUAUCGGUGGAGCGGUGAAAUGCGUUGAUAUCGAUAGGAACUCCGGUGGCGAAGGCGGCAUACUGGACCACUUCUGACGCUGAGGCGCGAAAGCCAGGGGAGCGAACG